UACGGGGGGAGCAAGCGUUGUUCGGAUUUACUGGGCGUAAAGGGCGCGUAGGCGGUCGUGACAAGUCACUUGUGAAAUCUCCGGGCUUAACUCGGAACGGUCAAGUGAUACUGUCGGACUAGAGUACAGAAGGGGCAACUGGAAUUCUCGGUGUAGCGGUGAAAUGCGUAGAUAUCGGGAGGAACACCGGUGGCGAAGGCGGCAUCCUGGACCGACACUGACACUGAGGAGCGAAAGCCAGGGGAGCAAACGGG
rnacentral:rRNA from 1 species